CAUGGUUACCAACUGGUCGCCUUCGCGCCACUUUCUUAACCCCGCAAUCAUUUCUAAGAAGCAUCUCUGGGCUCCAAAUGUGCUCUAUGUGGGUUCCGACUUCACUUUAUGCUUCGUUUUUGUCCGCUGUUUGAAAAGUUUUCGGGAUAGUAGCGGUUUUAUUCGCCUCUUUUGUCGGCGUGAGACCAGCACGGCAGCCCGAGCAAGUGAGCGAAGAUGGUGGAUUUCGGCUGGUGAGUGGAGCGCAUGUUUAUCGAUCCACCACGAGGUGCUGAAGCCCAUGCUGUGGACAGUUAUGAGCGUCUCGGUUUUGCCGGGGAGCAGUGAUGCUGUCUGUGCAUUGUCAAAGUGCUUACAGUGCAGGUAGUAAUAUGUGAUACCUACUGCAGUGGAGGCACUUACAGCAAUACACAGACACUUGUUUGUAAAUUUUGCUUUGCUAUAAUGUCACUUGAAGUACUGUCUUUGUGCUAAGGUGCAUCUAGUGCAGAUAGUGAAAUAGACUAGCACCUACUGCCCUAAGUGCUCCUUCUGGCAUAAGGGGCUGUAAUAUGCACCGCCAAGUCAGUACUAAUUACUAAUUGGGCAAAAAAAUAAUAUACAUCUUGCAGUUCACUGCUAGUUUUGCAUAGUUGCACUACAAGAAUAGAUGAGUUGUGCAAAUCUAUGCAAAACUGAUGGUGGCCUGCUUGCUCUACACCUGUUUUUAAAUCCAUGAUUUUUGGGGUGUCAACAUCAAGAGCAUCAUUGCACAAUACGAAGCAAACAGUUUAUAAGCAGCACAAGGAUUGCUUGCUGGUUCUCAUCCUCUGACCACAGUUUCUGCAGUACUAAAGUGCUUAUAGUGCAGGUAGUGUUUGUCCCCAUAUCUACUGCAAUGUAAGCACUUGAAGUAUUUCCAACUGUAUAUUCUCGCGGCCUGGGCUGGGUAGUCGACGUCAAAUCUGUUCGUCGCUUGGUCAGUUUUGCUGGUUUGCAUUCAGCUUUAACAGAUGUGUGCUGUGCAAAUCCAUGCAAAACUGAUUACGUUGACGGGUCAUGUUCUUCUGAGGGAAACCGCUUGCUGUCCUGCUUGGGUUGGUUGAGAUGUCCUGUCCUAUUCAGGUGGGGAUCAGUGGCAAUGCUGUUGUUCUGUAGGUAUUGCACUUGUCCCGGCCUGUAAAGGAACUGGGAGAUGACCUGAGCAGACCUCGAGUUAGCCAAACCGCUGCGCAACUAUGAUGUCCUGUGUAUUUAUGUGAUCUGUAUGGGCUAUAUGCAUGUUUCCUCUUUGCAUUGCUUUUUUAUGUAGAUGUUUAUGUGUGGUUUUAAAAAUAAUAAAAAAAAAAUUAAAACAAAA